UACGAAGGGGGCUAGCGUUGCUCGGAAUCACUGGGCGUAAAGGGUGCGUAGGCGGGUCUUUAAGUCAGGGGUGAAAUCCUGGAGCUCAACUCCAGAACUGCCUUUGAUACUGAGGAUCUUGAGUUCGGGAGAGGUGAGUGGAACUGCGAGUGUAGAGGUGAAAUUCGUAGAUAUUCGCAAGAACACCUAUAGCGAAGGCAGCUUACUAGGCUGUAACUGACGCUGAGGCACGAAAGUGUGGGGAUCAAACAGG
rnacentral:rRNA from 1 species